rnacentral:rRNA from 1 species
GAACGCUGGCGGCGUGCCUAAUACAUGCAAGUCGAACGAGAGCGACUGGUGCUUGCACUGGUCAAUCUAGUGGCGAACGGGUGAGUAACACGUGGGUAACCUGCCCAUCAGAGGGGGAUAACAUUCGGAAACGGAUGCUAAAACCGCAUAGGUCUUCGAACCGCAUGGUUUGAAGAGGAAAAGAGGCGCAAGCUUCUGCUGAUGGAUGGACCCGCGGUGCAUUAGCUAGUUGGUGAGGUAACGGCUCACCAAGGCCGUGAUGCAUAGCCGACCUGAGAGGGUGAUCGGCCACAUUGGGACUGAGACACGGCCCAAACUCCUACGGGAGGCAGCAGUAGGGAAUCUUCCGCAAUGGACGCAAGUCUGACGGAGCAACGCCGCGUGAGUGAAGAAGGUUUUCGGAUCGUAAAACUCUGUUGUUAGAGAAGAACAAGUGCUAGAGUAACUGUUAGCGCCUUGACGGUAUCUAACCAGAAAGCCACGGCUAACUACGUGCCAGCAGCCGCGGUAAUACGUAGGUGGCAAGCGUUGUCCGGAUUUAUUGGGCGUAAAGCGAGCGCAGGCGGUUCCUUAAGUCUGAUGUGAAAGCCCCCGGCUCAACCGGGGAGGGUCAUUGGAAACUGGGGAACUUGAGUGCAGAAGAGGAGAGUGGAAUUCCAUGUGUAGCGGUGAAAUGCGUAGAUAUAUGGAGGAACACCAGUGGCGAAGGCGACUCUCUGGUCUGUAACUGACGCUGAGGCUCGAAAGCGUGGGUAGCAAACAGGAUUAGAUACCCUGGUAGUCCACGCCGUAAACGAUGAGUGCUAAGUGUUGGAGGGUUUCCGCCCUUCAGUGCUGCAGUUAACGCAUUAAGCACU